rnacentral:rRNA from 1 species
AAAACAUGGUUUUUUGUUUAUAUAAAAAAUCUGGCCUGCUCAGUGAAUUUUAAAUAGCUGCAGUAUUUUGACUGUACAAAGGUAGCAUAAUCACUUGUCUUUUAAUUGAGGUCUGGAAUGAAUGGUUUGAUGAAAAAUAUACUUUAUUUAUUUUUAAUAAAAAAUUUAAUUUUUGAGUUAAAAAGCUUUGAAAUUUUUUUAUAGGACGAGAAGACCCUAUAGAACUUUAUUUAUAUAUUUUUAUAUUUUUUCUAGAUUAUAUAUUUUUAAUAAAAAUAUAUAAAUUUUGUUGGGGUGACAAAAAAAAUAGAAUAACUUUUUUUUAUUUUUACAUUUAUUUAUGUAUAUUUGAUCCUUUACUUUGGAAAAAAGAAUAAGUUACCUUAGGGAUAACAGCGUUAUUAUUUUGGAGAGUUCAUAUCGAUGAAAUAGUUUGCGACCUCGAUGUUGGAUUAAAAUAAGAUAUAGAAGUAGAAUGUUAUAUUCUUGGUCUGUUCGACCUUUAAAUUUUUACAUGAUCU